rnacentral:rRNA from 1 species
AUUGAACGCUGGCGGCAUGCUUUACACAUGCAAGUCGAACGGUAACAGGCCGCAAGGUGCUGACGAGUGGCGAACGGGUGAGUAAUGCAUCGGAACGUGCCCAGUCGUGGGGGAUAACGCAGCGAAAGCUGUGCUAAUACCGCAUACGAUCUAUGGAUGAAAGCGGGGGACCGUAAGGCCUCGCGCGAUUGGAGCGGCCGAUGUCAGAUUAGGUAGUUGGUGGGGUAAAGGCCCACCAAGCCAACGAUCUGUAGCUGGUCUGAGAGGACGACCAGCCACACUGGGACUGAGACACGGCCCAGACUCCUACGGGAGGCAGCAGUGGGGAAUUUUGGACAAUGGGCGCAAGCCUGAUCCAGCAAUGCCGCGUGCAGGGAGAAGGCCUUCGGGUUGUAAACUGCUUUUGUACGGAACGAAACGGUCUGGGUUAAUACCCUGGGCUAAUGACGGUACCGUAAGAAUAAGCACCGGCUAACUACGUGCCAGCCGCCGCGGUAAUAC